rnacentral:sRNA from 1 species
UGCUGCGAAGGGAGGGAUGAAAAGGAUAUAUGCACUUUUCCGCAUAAUCCGGAUGACACGGGACUCGAAGAAGAAGAAGAAGAAGGAGGACAAGAAGGACAAUACAAAUACAAUUAUGAGCUUCUUGGGCAUCUAUAUGCGGCGCGUGUGCCGUACGUUACUAGUAUGUAUGCGACGUAGCACAUGUGCGCGCGACUCCGAAGUUGAAUCGCUUAUGGAUAUUGAUUGUAUUGUAUUUGGUUCUGCUAUUGUCAUUGCACGAACGUUACAUGAAGGCUACGUAAUACCUCUAUACAGUGACAUAAAGUCGUGGGCCCCGGGGCAGC